rnacentral:ncRNA from 1 species
ACCAAGGAGUCUAACAUGUGCGCGAGUCAAUGGGUCCCUCAAAACCCAGAGGCGCAAUGAAACGUGAAGGCGCGGCCUCGUGCCGUGCCGAGUUGCGAUCCCGGGCCGCCCAGGGGUCCGAUGAAGGGAGCAGCAACGGCCCGCCCCACACGCUCACGUCGUGGGGGCGGCGCUAGAGCGCACACGUUGGCACCCGAAAGAUGGUGAACUAUGCCCGGGCAGGACGAGGCCAGAGGAAACUCUGGUGGAGGUCCGAAGCGCUUCUGACGUGCAAAUCGAUCGUCCGACCCAGGUAUAGGGGCGAAAGACUAAUCGAACCAUCUAGUAGCUGGUUCCCUCCGAAGUUUCCCUCAGGAUAGCUGGCGCUUGUUGCCGAGACCAGUCACACCUGGUAAAGCGAAUGAUUAGAGGCAUUGGGGUCGAAACGACCUCAACCUAUUCUCAACUUUCAUGGGUGUGUCGGAGGCCUUCUGGUCUGAGGCCUCCGGAGCGAUGAGAGUGCCAAGUGGGCCACU